UACACUCAUCCCUGCCAUUAGCAUUCAGGACCAAUCUUCUAUAGCCUAUACACCACACUGGUCUAGGACAGCACCUAAAUAAUACUCAUGCUAUAAAAAAUUCAUCAAGUUAUAUAUUUUUAAAAACAUCCCUAAAAUUAUCUUUUUCCUUUACUGAAAAGAAUUUCAGGAUUCCCUCUCUCUCACUGCCUCUCUUCACACACACCUACCUUAGUUGGUCACCUAUUUUGUAAACAUAUCUUCUUUAAAAAAAGAAAGAAAUGGCAGUACAUGAAAAACUGCUUCGUAAAAAGAAACUAUAUUAUUUAUAUUUGUAGCAUUUUUUUCCCCUUGAGGUUAAUUUCCUUUGCUUCCCAUAACUGGAAGCCAAUGAUUCAGUGCCAUUAUAUAAGCUUAUUUUCCCUCUUGGAAAUAGUAAAUUAUAAGAGGUUUGACCCAAAAAUAUACAUCAAAAUUAGGCAGUAUUUGGUGUUUAGCCUCCAUCUGCCUUGUCUUCUUGUCUUUAGUUGUGCAAGUAGAUGCUGAUGAUUUCUGGCAGAACUAAAGUAAGUAAAUCAUGUGAAUUUAUUUUUUUUCCUCAUAAAGCAGAUGGCAUGGUCUAGCUCUGGGCUUGUAUGUUUCAUGAAGUACAUGGGUCUGAGUGCAUAUUUAUUUUGUGAGCCAAGGUUUAUGCCUUCUUCUAUAAUUUUCUUUCACCGAAAAUUACCUGGAGAGCUAGAAACUCCAUUUUUGUCAGUGUAAGAAGCUUUAGAAUCUAUAUCCAGACCAAGGCCAUGGAACAAUGUAGAUUCACUCAGUAAAAACUCACUAGCGGCCUUCUUUGUACUAGUCUGUCACCUUUGCUUGGCUUUGGGAAGCUUCAAACUAGGGCAGUUUAUGUUUGGGAAUGACCAGUCAAAUAGCAAGACAGACAUAGGCAAGGAUGUAAUUUUUAAAAAUUUAAGUGGGGAAUGGUGAAGCAUGAAUCAAAACAGAAGGUAGUCUUACCUUCUUGGAACUGUAAAAUAAAUACAUUUGAAAAAGGCACCCUCUCAACCUUCUGCGAGUCAGAAUUUUUGCUGCCACCCCUCAUUUUGAAUCUCUAUUCUGCAUUUUUUAUUCUUUUUUUUAGGAAGGAGGAAGAAAAAUUUCUCCUGAAGAAUUCAUUGGAAAUUAAAAUUAACUUGCGUAUUUUGUAUUCUUUGGAAUGUGAUGAAGACUGAUUUGAAAGGGCAGUGCUGGAUUUGGUCAGGCAUAGGAAAGGAAGACAUGCAGUCGUCCUGCCUAGCUCAUCCCCGCCACGAUGGAGAAGUGGGGUUGCUUUCGUUGUACUUUUUUUCAUUUGUUUCUUGCCAAGCCCAGUGGCUUCUGUUAUAACAUGUGGCAGCUUCUCCCUUGGAGACUGAUUCAGUCCAAGUUACCAUAAUAUUUAGGACCAGCUACAGAGACGUUUCUUCCCCUAAACCCAUGCCAAAUCUAAAUCAAACUAUCUUCUUCUCCUUAGCCGUUCAAAUAGCUCCAGCUCUUAUAUAAAAAUACGAGAAAUACACAGGCCUCUUUUCGUUUUAUUCCUGUUCAAACAGAUAAACAAACAAGGCACAUCAUGCCUAGGUUGCUUUGAGCUUGAUCACUUCCUCCUAAAGCAGUCUUACGCUGUGUUGAUUUUAAGAAUUGCAACUUAGGUGUUCUAGAACAUAUUCUGAGAGCAUAGUCAUAGUCUGUGAUCUCAGAAUAUGUUUGCUUCCCCUUAGAACAUCUGAGUUCUAGAAAUUGCGUACAAUAAACUGCUGUCAGUGCUGCUGGAGGAAGGAAGAGUAACUCUGACAUCACUGGCCUUCAACAGGUGUGGCGCUGAGCUUCUGGGCCUCAGAAGCCCUGACUUCUAGAGGCUGGGGGCCAGCGGGGCAGGGAGGUGAUCUCAUCGUGGAUGGCCACAGAUCAUCCACCUGCCAAACAGUUAACCCUGAACAAGUCACAUCAAUUUAUUUUGCUUUUAAAAAAGAAAGUUUGCAAAAUAGA
rnacentral:lncRNA from 1 species